rnacentral:rRNA from 1 species
AUUGAACGCUGGCGGCAGGCCUAACACAUGCAAGUCGAACGGUAACAGGAAGCAGCUUGCUGCUUUGCUGACGAGUGGCGGACGGGUGAGUAAUGUCUGGGAAACUGCCCGAUGGAGGGGGAUAACUACUGGAAACGGUAGCUAAUACCGCAUAACGUCGCAAGACCAAAGAGGGGGACCUUAGGGCCUCUUGCCAUCGGAUGUGCCCAGAUGGGAUUAGCUAGUAGGUGGGGUAACGGCUCACCUAGGCGACGAUCCUUAGCUGGUCUGAGAGGAUGACCAGCCACACUGGAACUGAGACACGGUCCAGACUCCUACGGGAGGCAGCAGUGGGGAAUAUUGCACAAUGGGCGCAAGCCUGAUGCAGCCAUGCCGCGUGUAUGAAGAAGGCCUUCGGGUUGUAAAGUACUUUCAGCGGGGAGGAAGGGAGUAAAGUUAAUACCUUUGCUCAUUGACGUUACCCGCAGAAGAAGCACCGGCUAACUCCGUG